UACGUAGGGUGCAAGCGUUAAUCGGAAUUACUGGGCGUAAAGGGCUCGUAGGUGGCUUGCUAAGUCAUACGUGAAAUCCCUCAGCUUAACUGGGGAACUGCGUCUGAUACUGGAUGGCUUGAGUUUGGGAGAGGGAUGCGGAAUUCCAGGUGUAGCGGUGAAAUGCGUAGAUAUCUGGAGGAACACCGGUGGCGAAGGCGGUGCUCUGGGCAGGAUCUGACGCUGAGGAGCGAAAGUGUGGGGAGCGAACAGG
rnacentral:rRNA from 1 species